CGUAGGGAGCAAGCGUUGUUCGGAUUUACUGGGCGUAAAGGGCGCGUAGGCGGCGUGUCAAGUCAAUUGUGAAAUCUCCGGGCUUAACUCGGAACGGUCAAUUGAUACUGUCAUGCUAGAGUGCAGAAAGGGCAAUCGGAAUUCUUGGUGUAGCGGUGAAAUGCGUAGAUAUCAAGAGGAACACCUGAGGCGAAGGCGGGUUGCUAGGCUGACACUGACGCUGAGUGCGCGAAAGCCAGGGGAGCAAACGGGAUUAGAUACCCCGGUAGUCCUGGCCCUAAACGAUGAAUACUUGGUGUCUGGAGUUAUUAUCGCUCCGGGUGCCGUCGCUAACGUUUUAAGUAUUCCGCCUGGGGAGUACGCACGCAAGUGUG
rnacentral:rRNA from 1 species